rnacentral:rRNA from 1 species
UACGUAGGGCGCAAGCGUUGUCCGGAAUCAUUGGGCGUAAAGAGCUCGUAGGUGGUCUGUUACGUCUGCUGUGAAAUCCUAGGGCUUAACCCUGGGCCUGCAGUGGAUACGGGCAGACUAGAGGUAGGUAGGGGAGAAUGGAAUUCCCGGUGUAGCGGUGAAAUGCGCAGAUAUCGGGAGGAACACCGGUGGCGAAGGCGGUUCUCUGGGCCUCACCUGACACUGAGGAGCGAAAGCGUGGGGAGCGAACAGG